CAAGAGUAUCUAGAAAACUCUUCCUCCUUGAUAAAGAAAGUCAGCUAAGGAGAAACGGUUUUGCCUCUCAACCGGCUCUGUGUUGAGGUGAUGGCAGGUGCAGCAGCAGCCACCUUCUGACCAGAAGAGGACAAGCCUGGGGAGGUCACCCCCAAAGAGGAAAGGGGCCCAAGUCCCCAGUGAUAUCCCUGAGGCUCUGAACUUCAGAAGCACUGCCUGUGGACUUGACAAUGUGCAUUUAGGAGUUUAAGUCCUUUUCACUAGGAUUCUCCAUGCCCUGCCCUCCAAAACUUCCUGAUGACAAUGAACCAUUUCCUGCUCAGACGCGGAAAGUUUCUCUCCUACCGAAGGACUUAACUUGCUUUUCCUGGAGAAGGUAAAGGGAAUCACUAGCACCAGCCAGUGUUGCAAGAAGUCGUCUGAGUGGGACGGUUCCUGUGAGAGAGAAAACCACUUGGAGGUAUUUCAUGAGAUGAAGGGGUCUGGCUAAACCAGGCUCUGAUGGAGGCCGCCGGGAGCGAUCUGGCUCCUGAGCCGAGGCCCACGGGAGACCCGGUUUCCUCGUGGAAUCCUGGCACUGAGAAGCAGAACAGAUCCAGGAGCCUCUCUGAGCCUCCGGGCUUUCAUCUCCGGGUCUGGAAUAAUUACGGAUCCGGUUCUCUCCAGGGCGGAUGGGAGAGUGCAGCCUGCUGAAAGACAAGCGUCCGAAAGGCCCAGGCCCCCAGAACCCCGCGUGCGGCCAGCCUCCGAGCUAGCGGCCAUGGGGUGUUCACAUACCGAACCGCUUUGAGGAGGACGACCAGCGGGAUGAGAGGCUACUAGGACCUGCGCAGCUGCCCAGCGACCCUGGACCCACCACCGAGAAGGCUGCUGACGGUUAGCUCUGGUCCAAGCAGAGAACUCAUCCACGCGCCAGGCGACAUGCAGAAGCGCAACGGGUUAAAAUAAAUCCAUUUAAAAUACAAAACUGGGUUGGCUGUUCAUGCUACAGUGUGUUUACAAGCCUUUAGAAACACUAUUGAGAAAAAAAAAAAAAAAGGAAUCAGACUCCUAGCUCUUGGUCAUCGAAGAGAACACGGGUGCUCUCCACCAGGUUCUGUGUUUAACUUCGGAUUAUCACGGUAGCAAGCUUAGCAGCCAUGGCUAAGAGCAGUUUUUCUGCCAAAUACUUGUUUAUAUCCCCCAAAUUAUAACUGCUACGAGGAAUCGGGAAACAUUCACUCAGAAAACGUCCCUUAUUGAUACGGAGAAAUAAAAGGCAUUGCCCAAGGAAGAAGAGCCGGGCAGGGCCUGACCUGAGGAUGGCACUCGGGAGAAACAGAAUCGUGCCAACCAGCACCCACCCGAGGGCCGACGGACCAGCUGAGCUCCCUGGGGACACCCAGCGCCUGCAGGAUUUAAAACAAUAAGUCAGUAAAUAAAUGAAGGUGAUCCACGAGGGUGGCUCACCAUUCUUGCCGUCCGCCAUGAGAUGCUCCAGGAAGACAGAUGGGGCGGGGGAAGGAACAGGAAUGCUGAUUCAUUUUACCCUGGGCCUCUCUCGAUUUGCCGGCCAAAUAAUACAUUCUGGACUUGCAAGCUCUACAAGAAAGCCUGAAAAGGGAAGGGCGAAAAAAAGGAACAGCCUGGGACAAAACUUCAACUGCCAAGCGGAGAGCCUAAGCCGUAUGCAUGCCUUUGUGAAUGAGUGACUGGAGCUUUUUCUCAUCUUCAAGCAGUGGGAUGCCGGCAAACCAGCUCUCUGAGAGGACAUUCAAAAUCUUGAUGGUAGCAUUUGCCAAUUUCCGUGAUGUAAAUAUUAUUUAAUAUUAUAAUUAUUGCCCACAAUGUGUAUUCUUCA